rnacentral:rRNA from 1 species
GACGAACGCUGGCGGCGUGCCUAAUACAUGCAAGUUGAGCGCUGAAGGUUGGUACUUGUACCAACUGGAUGAGCAGCGAACGGGUGAGUAACGCGUGGGGAAUCUGCCUUUGAGCGGGGGACAACAUUUGGAAACGAAUGCUAAUACCGCUUAAAAACUUUAAACACAAGUUUUAAGUUUGAAAGAUGCAAUUGCAUCACUCAAAGAUGAUCCCGCGUUGUAUUAGCUAGUUGGUGAGGUAAAGGCUCACCAAGGCGAUGAUACAUAGCCGACCUGAGAGGGUGAUCGGCCACAUUGGGACUGAGACACGGCCCAAACUCCUACGGGAGGCAGCAGUAGGGAAUCUUCGGCAAUGGACGAAAGUCUGACCGAGCAACGCCGCGUGAGUGAAGAAGGUUUUCGGAUCGUAAAACUCUGUUGGUAGAGAAGAACGUUGGUGAGAGUGGAAAGCUCAUCAAGUGACGGUAACUACCCAGAAAGGGACGGCUAACUACGUG